UGCUAGGUAGGNGGAAAAAGGGUCCC
rnacentral:piRNA from 1 species